rnacentral:rRNA from 1 species
UACGUAGGGGGCUAGCGUUGUCCGGAAUCAUUGGGCGUAGAGAGCGUGUAGGCGGUCCGGUAAGUCCGCUGUGAAAGUCGGGGGCUCAACCCUCGAAUGCCGGUGGAUACUGUCGGGCUAGAGUACGGAAGAGGCGAGUGGAAUUCCUGGUGUAGCGGUGAAAUGCGCAGAUAUCAGGAGGAACACCUAUUGCGAAGGCAGCUCGCUGGGACGUAACUGACGCUGAGACGCGAAAGCGUGGGGAGCAAACAGG